UACAGAGACCUCAAGCGUUAUCCGGAAUUACUGGGCGUAAAGGGCUCGUAGGCGGCCAACUAAGUCGGAUGUGAAAUCCCCAGGCUUAACCUGGGAACUGCAUCCGAUACUGGAUGGCUUGAAUCCGGGAGAGGGAUGCAGAAUUCCAGGUGUAGCGGUGAAAUGCGUAGAUAUUACCAAGAACACCAAUGGCGAAGGCAGCUUGCUGGGCUACUCCUGACACUGAGGUACGAAAGCGUGGGGAGCGAACAGG
rnacentral:rRNA from 1 species